rnacentral:lncRNA from 1 species
CGCAGCUGAGCAGGGUACGCUCAGGGGUCAAUGUGGCCCUGGUGGCUUAUGGGAGCCCUGACACAUCUGCCCUGCACAUACCGUCUUGGGAACAAGAGGAUGCCAGGCAGGGAGCCCGACAGCUGGAGUGGGGGUGGCCGGAAGAGGGGGACGUUCUUCAGAUGGCCUUCGGGCUGCCGCAGUGGCCUGGGGCCCGCUGCAGGCGUCCAUUCCACGGCGCUGGAAUGCACUAGAGGAAGAGGACCCUCGGGGACAGGACCAUUUGCUUUCUUUGAAGGGACACGUGUUGAUCUGGGUUUAACUCCCUACAGUCCAGACAGGCUCCAUUCAAUGUGGUCGCGUUCCUGGAUCCUGAGAGAGGUGGGAAAGAGAAAAAUGAAAGGUGGACCCCUCGCUGACAACACAGUAGGUCAUGUGGAAAUACAGACAGGCUGGGCAAUAGCCCUGGCCCUUAGGGAUGGGGUUUGUCAUCCAAAAUGUUUGGAAUCAUUGGCCCAACAAAAUGGUGGAGGCCAGUGAUAGAGGUCCCAAUGGAGGGGCAUGAAGAUUCUAUGCCCUUUCUUGAUGUUGACUUUCAGCCAUGAAGGUGGAAAGAGGGGGAGAAGCAGCUUCACACUUUAACAGAGGGAGUGUCUUUAUCAAGAGGCAGGGGGGAGGUAAACACCUGUCUUAGUCCAUUUGCUGUUGCUGUAACAAAACACCUGAGUCUGGGUAAUUUAUGAAGUAAAGAGGUUUAUUUAGUUCACAGUUCUGAAGGUCCCAGAGCAUGGUCCUGGGGCCUGUUGAGGGCCUUGUACUGCUCCAUGCGUGGACAGGGAAACAGAUAUGUGUGGAAGACAUGCGGAGGGAUGUGAAGCAAGAGAGGUAGCAGAGGACACCAACCCACUGUCUCAGAGAUUAACCCAGAACUGUGAGGGAGAGAGCCCAUUCCUGGGAGAAAGGCACCCAUCCUCUUAAUGAUCCACCCACCUCUUAAAGCCCCACCCUCUCUCAAUGCUGUCACAUUGGGGACUAAACCUCAGCAUGAGCUUUGCUGGGGACAAACUAUAUCCAAACUGUAGAAGAACUCAACUGGCUGAAGAAACAAAAAGGAAUCUGUGGGCUCAUUUCUGAAGUACAGAAUACUGUCUGACUUCAGGCACAGCUGGAUCCAGGAACGUACCAAGGUCUUCAGCACCCUCCUCUCUCCACCUUCAGUCCUGGCUUAUCUCUAUGGAUCUCACCGUUGGGCCGUCUGUCUGCUUGUGGUGGCCUCAGAAACCCCAGCCCUGCACCUCACCAGCAAGAGAGCUCCAGAUUCUUCUUGGGACAGUCCAUAGUGGGCUCUUGAGCCUAGCCCAGGUCAGGUCCCCAUCCCUGAAUCACCCACUGUGGCCAGGGCCAUGGACAUGCUGGAUGGCCAGGCCAGGAGUGCAAGUCCGUCCCUUGAGUUGGAGGGCAGGGAGAGCCUUCCUAAGCCACAGGGGCUGACAUGAGGAUGCGGUGGCUCCCAGAGGCCAGCCUGGGGACCAGAACCAGAGGAUGGGACACAAGACCCACAAGCAAACACUUUGUCACCAUUGCGAACUGUUGAGGGGAUACUGAAGCAGUGGCCUCUGUCCUUGGGAUUUCCACCCUGACGUGCUCAGUGCUGGGGAGGACAGCCAGGCCAGGAGAGGCCCUGCAGCCUGCCUGUGGGGGAGCAAGGAGAAGGUUCCGGC